GUCUACAGCCAUACCACCCUGAACAAGCUUGGUCUCAUCUGAUCCCGGAAGCUGAGCAAGGUCAGGCCUGGAUAGUACUAGGAUAGGAGUUAGUAGAAAAGCAAUGUAUCUGUGUAGA
rnacentral:rRNA from 1 species